rnacentral:lncRNA from 1 species
AUGCAGAUGUACUUAUCUGAAAAAUAUUCAAGUAACAUUUUCAAUCUUUUUGUAUGGUCAUAUUUAUGUCUAAUUUUAUCGGAAUAUUGAUUGUAAUCUAUCAAAUGUUAUAUUUAGGCUGAAAAUUUAACCUCUAACACAAAGAAAACCUAUUCUCUAGUUCGGUAAAAACCUUGUUCUAAAACCAAUCCAUGGAGGGACGAUUUUGGGUCGUGUAAUCGUUGUUGCACUAUAUGCGGC